AGGAACACCGAUGGCGAAGGCAGGUCUCUGGGCUGUAACUGACGCUGAGGAGCGAAAGCAUGGGGAGCGAACAGGAUUAGAUACCCUGGUAGUCCAUGCCGUAAACGUUGGGCACUAGGUGUGGGGACCAUUCCACGGUUUCCGCGCCGCAGCUAACGCAUUAAGUGCCCCGCCUGGGGAGUACGGCCGCAAGGCUAAAACUCAAAGGAAUUGACGGGGGCCCGCACAAGCGGCGGAGCAUGCGGAUUAAUUCGAUGCAACGCGAAGAACCUUACCAAGGCUUGACAUGUUCUCGAUCGCCGUAGAGAUACGGUUUCCCCUUUGGGGCGGGUUCACAGGUGGUGCAUGGUUGUCGUCAGCUCGUGUCGUGAGAUGUUGGGUUAAGUCCCGCAACGAGCGCAACCCUCGUUCCAUGUUGCCAGCACGUAAUGGUGGGGACUCAUGGGAGACUGCCGGGGUCAACUCGGAGGAAGGUGAGGACGACGUCAAAUCAUCAUGCCCCUUAUGUCUUGGGCUUCACGCAUGCUACAAUGGCCGGUACAAUGGGUUGCGAUACUGUGAGGUGGAGCUAAUCCCAAAAAGCCGGUCUCAGUUCGGAUUGGGGUCUGCAACUCGACCCCAUGAAGUCGGAGUCGCUAGUAAUCGCAGAUCAGCAACGCUGCGGUGAAUACGUUCCCGGGCCUUGUACACACCGCCCGUCAAGUCACGAAAGUCGGUAACACCCGAAGCC
rnacentral:rRNA from 1 species